rnacentral:tRNA from 1 species
CCCUGCAGUGGAAAGCACGCCGGAAUGCAAGUCCGGAGACACACCCAUUUGGUGUCGGGGCUU